rnacentral:rRNA from 1 species
AGAUUGAACGCUGGCGGCAUGCCUUACACAUGCAAGUCGAACGGUAGAGUAGCAAUACUUGAGAGUGGCGAACGGGUGAGUAAUAUAUCGGAACGUGCCCAGUCGUGGGGGAUAACGUAGAGAAAUUUACGCCAAUACCGCAUACGAUCUAAGGAUGAAAGCGGGGGACCGUAAGGCCUCGCGCGAUUGGAGCGGCUGAUAUCAGAUUAGGUUGUUGGUGAGGUAAAAAGCUCACCAAGCCGACGAUCUGUAGCUGGUUUGAGAGAACGACCAGCCACACUGGGACUGAGACACGGCCCAGACUCCUACGGGAGCAGCAGUGGGAAUUUGGACAAUGGGACGAAAGCCUAGAUCCAGCAAUGCCGCGUGCAGGAAGAAGGCUUCGGGUUGUAAACUGCUUUGACGGAACGAACGGU